rnacentral:rRNA from 1 species
CCUACGGGCGGCAGCAGUGGGGAAUAUUGGACAAUGGGGGGAACCCUGAUCCAGCCAUGCCGCGUGUGUGAAGAAGGCCCUCGGGUUGUAAAGCACUUUCAGUGAGGAAGAACGCCUGGUGGUUAAUACCCAUCAGGAAAGACAUCACUCACAGAAGAAGCACCGGCUAACUCCGUGCCAGCAGCCGCGGUAAUACGGAGGGUGCGAGCGUUAAUCGGAAUUACUGGGCGUAAAGCGCGCGUAGGUGGCUUGAUAAGCCGGUUGUGAAAGCCCCGGGCUCAACCUGGGAACGACAUCCGGAACUGUCAAGCUAGAGUGCAGGAGAGGAAGGUAGAAUUCCCGGUGUAGCGGUGAAAUGCGUAGAGAUCGGGAGGAAUACCAGUGGCGAAGGCGGCCUUCUGGACUGACACUGACACUGAGGUGCGAAAGCGUGGGUAGCAAACAGGAUUAGAUACCCGAGUAGUC